GUAGGUGGCAAGCGUUGUCCGGAAUUAUCGGGCGUAAAGCGCGCGCAGGUGGUUCUUUAAGUCUGAUGUGAAAGCCCCCGGGCUCAACCGGGGAGGGUCAUUGGAAACUGGGGAACUUGAGUGCAGGAGAGGAAAGUGGAAUUCCACGUGUAGCGGUGAAAUGCGUAGAUAUGUGGAGGAACACCAGUGGCGAAGGCGACUUUCUGGCCUGUAACUGACACUGAGGCGCGAAAGCGUGGGGAGCAAACAGGAUUAGAUACCCUGGUAGUCCACGCCGUAAACGAUGAGUGCUAAGUGUUGGGGGGUUUCCGCCCCUCAGUGCUGCAGCUAACGCAUUAAGCACUCCGCCUGGGGAGUACGGUCGCAAAGACUG
rnacentral:rRNA from 1 species